ACGGGAAGAGCCCAAACCAACAAGCUUGCUUGUUGGGGUUGUAGGACACUCUAUACGGAGUUACAAAGGACGACAUUAGACGAAUCAUCUGGAAAGAUGAAUCAAAGAAGGUAAUAAUCCUGUAGUCGAAAAUGUUGUCUCUCUUGAGUGGAUCCUGAGUACGACGGAGCACGUGAAAUUCCGUCGGAAUCUGGGAGGACCAUCUCCUAAGGCUAAAUACUCUCUAGUGACCGAUAGUGAACCAGUACCGUGAGGGAAAGGUGAAAAGCACCCCGGAAGGGGAGUGAAAUAGAACCUGAAACCGUGUGCUUACAAGUAGUCAGAGCCCGUUAAUGGGUGAUGGCGUGCCUUUUGUAGAAUGAACCGGCGAGUUACGAUUUGAUGCAAGGUUAAGCAGUAAAUGUGGAGCCGUAGCGAAAGCGAGUCUGAAUAGGGCGUUUAGUAUUUGGUCGUAGACCCGAAACCAGGUGAUCUACCCUUGGUCAGGUUGAAGUUCAGGUAACACUGAAUGGAGGACCGAACCGACUUACGUUGAA
rnacentral:rRNA from 1 species